rnacentral:rRNA from 1 species
GAGUAAUGCUUGGGAAUCUGGCUUAUGGAGGGGGAUAACUACGGGAAACUGUAGCUAAUACCGCGUAAAAUCUUCGGAUUAAAGGGUGGGACUUUCGAGCCACCUGCCAUAAGAUGAGCCCAAGUGGGAUUAGGUAGUUGGUUAGGUAAAGGCUGACCAAGCCGACGAUCUCUAGCUGGUCUGAGAGGAUGACCAGCCACACUGGAACUGAGACACGGUCCAGACUCCUACGGGAGGCAGCAGUGGGGAAUAUUGCACAAUGGGGGGAACCCUGAUGCAGCCAUGCCGCGUGAAUGAAGAAGGCCUUCGGGUUGUAAAGUUCUUUCGGUGACGAGGAAGGUUGAUAGGUUAAUAGCCUAUCAAAUUGACGUUAAUCACAGAAGAAGCACCGGCUAACUCCGUGCCAGCAGCCGCGGUAAUACGGNGGGUGCGAGCGUUAAUCGGAAUAACUGGGCGUAAAGGGCACGCAGGCGGUGACUUAAGUGAGNUGUGAAAGCCCCGNGCUUAACNUGGGAAUUGCAUUUCAUACUGGGUCGCUAGAGUACUUUAGGGAGGGGUAGAAUUCCACGUGUAGCGGUGAAAUGCGUAGAGAUGUGGAGGAAUACCGAAGGCGAAGGCAGCCCCUUGGGAAUGUACUGACGCUCAUGUGCGAAAGCGUGGGGAGCAAACAGGAUUAGAUACCCUGGUAGUCCACGCUGUAAACGAUGUCGAUUUGGGGNUUGNNCUUUNAGNUUGGNGCCCGUAGCUAACGUGAUAAAUCGACCGCCUGGGGAGUACGGCCGCAAGGUUAAAACUCAAAUGAAUUGACGGGGGCCCGCACAA